AUUGAACGCUGGCGGCAUGCUUUACACAUGCAAGUCGAACGGCAGCGCGGGGCAACCUGGCGGCGAGUGGCGAACGGGUGAGUAAUACAUCGGAACGUACCCAGAAGUGGGGGAUAACGUAGCGAAAGUUACGCUAAUACCGCAUACGUUCUACGGAAGAAAGUGGGGGACUUUCGGGCCUCAUGCUUUUGGAGCGGCCGAUGUCUGAUUAGCUAGUUGGUGAGGUAAAGGCUCACCAAGGCGACGAUCAGUAGCUGGUCUGAGAGGACGACCAGCCACACUGGGACUGAGACACGGCCCAGACUCCUACGGGAGGCAGCAGUGGGGAAUUUUGGACAAUGGGCGCAAGCCUGAUCCAGCAAUGCCGCGUGAGUGAAGAAGGCCUUCGGGUUGUAAAGCUCUUUUGUCAGGGAAGAAACGGCUGAGGUUAAUACCUUCGGCUAAUGACGGUACCUGAAGAAUAGGCACCGGCUAACUACGUGCCAGCAGCCGCAGUAAGAC
rnacentral:rRNA from 1 species